AGCGAACGCUGGCGGCAGGCCUAACACAUGCAAGUCGAACGAACCUUUCGGGGUUAGUGGCGGACGGGUGAGUAACACGUGGGAACGUGCCUUUAGGCUCGGAAUAACUCAGGGAAACUUGUGCUAAUACCGAAUGUGCCCUUCGGGGGAAAGAUUAAUCGCCUUUAGAGCGGCCCGCGUCUGUUUAGCUAGUUGGUUGAGGUAAUGGCUCACCAAGGCGACGAUCAGUAGCUGGUCUGAGAGGAUGAUCAGCCACAUUGGUACUGAGACACGGUCCAAAAUCCUACGGGAGGCAGCAGUGGGGAAUCUUGCGCAAUGGGCGAAAGCCUGACGCAGCCAUGCCGCGUGAAUGAUGAAGGUCUUAGGAUUGUAAAAUUCUUUCACCGGGGACGAUAAUGACGGUACCCGGAGAAGAAGCCCCGGCUAACUUCGUG
rnacentral:rRNA from 1 species